GCUGCGAUCUGACUCGUGUGCUUUAUUCAAACAGACGGCAGAAAAAACAAAGUAAACAAAACCAAGAUGAAGAAGACGUCUCUGAUCAGAACAGUCAAAAGGAUCCAGGAGCAGCUGGAUCCUGCUGGGAUUAUCAACCCCUCCAGGAAAUCCUCCAGAUCAAUGGACCUGGCAAAACUGACUGAGGAGAGCAUCGUGAGCGAACAUGUGAGACGUGAGUA